AUUGAACGCUGGCGGCAUGCCUUACACAUGCAAGUCGAACGGUAACAGGUCUUCGGAUGCUGACGAGUGGCGAACGGGUGAGUAAUACAUCGGAACGUGCCCGAUCGUGGGGGAUAACGCAGCGAAAGCUGUGCUAAUACCGCAUACGAUCUACGGAUGAAAGCGGGGGAUCGCAAGACCUCGCGCGGACGGAGCGGCCGAUGGCAGAUUAGGUAGUUGGUGGGAUAAAAGCUUACCAAGCCGACGAUCUGUAGCUGGUCUGAGAGGACGACCAGCCACACUGGGACUGAGGCACGGCCCAGACUCCUACGGGAGGCAGCAGUGGGGAAUUUUGGACAAUGGGCGCAAGCCUGAUCCAGCCAUGCCGCGUGCAGGAUGAAGGCCUUCGGGUUGUAAACUGCUUUUGUACGGAACGAAAAAGCUCUCUCUAAUACAGGGGGUGAAUGACGGUACCGUAAGAAUAAGCACCGGCUAACUACGU
rnacentral:rRNA from 1 species